rnacentral:rRNA from 1 species
UACGUAGGGGGCUAGCGUUGUCCGGAUUUAUUGGGCGUAAAGAGCGUGUAGGCGGCCAUGUAGGUCCGGUGUGAAAACUCGAGGCUUAACCUCGAGAUGUCAUCGGAAACCAUUUGGCUAGAGUCCGGAAGAGGAGAGUGGAAUUCCCGGUGUAGUGGUGAAAUGCGUAGAGAUCGGGAGGAACACCAGUGGCGAAGGCGGCUCGCUGGGCCGGUCCUGACGCUGAGACGCGAAGGCGUGGGGAGCGAACGGG